AGUGGACCAUAUCUGCAAAUGCUUCUGAACAUUGACAGAAUUUCUAAAGAUGACUGAGAAUAUUACUGAAGGAUCCUACAUGGAAGCUGUCUGAUUACACUGAGUGAUUCCUCUGGUGUGGUGUACCUCAGAGAAAAUAAACACUGUUGCAAGAGCUGAGAAGAUAUCCUUAUUGCUGGAUGGUUGCUCUCUGGUCGUACUUGAGCCCCCUGGACCAUGUCUGGAAAUGCUUCUGAACAUUGACAGAAUUUCUAAAGGAUCGCUGAGGACUCCCCCUCCAUGCGUGACCUCUUUGAGAAAUUUCCACGCUUUCUGGAGAUGCCAAGUUUGACUGGAACCAACUUUGCAUCCCUCGGCACUAACACUGAGAAGGUUUCAAGGACCCCACUACUAGGAGGCGAGAGUUUGACACGGCAGUGUCAUCACUGCCAUGGAUGACAACGUAACCAUUCCUGUUGCUGAUUGCCUGACUUGCGCAGUGACAAGCUUUUCAUGCUCUACCGGGUGUGUAACUUGGCAUAUCCACCACAGUUUAACUCUGUUUCUGCCUCUUUUGAAUAUGUGUACGAUAUAACCAUCUCAACCAACAAGUGGGCCAAGGUACUGGAACAUUUCUCACUUCAAGUUGCUCUGUAGUCACUGGACAUUUUUUUAAACAUCUACGCAGACACCACCACUCCACAUCAUGUGUAUUUUAAUUAGGCCUACUUCUGAUUCCACUGACAUGCAGGCUACAUCCUAUGCAAAUUCAGGUAAUUUACCUGGU